rnacentral:misc_RNA from 1 species
GAUCAUUAAAUAAAUUUUAAAAAUUUAGAUUGCGUAUUGCGUAUCUAUUUUUUUUUUUUUUUUUUUACUGUGAACUGUUUUUUAAUUUCAUAGUGCUUGAGGGAUGACUAGUAGUCCAUAAUGGACAGGGCUACUAGGAUGUUAACCGAGCUAUGGUCAGGCUUAGGCCUGGUGUCCCUAAAACUUAUUAUUUACCAAAAAAAGAAUUCAGUAUAAAAAUAUUGUAACAUAAGCCUAAAAAACUUAUAAAAACAACUUUUAACAACGGAUCUCUUGGUUCUCGCAUCGAUGAAGAACGUAGCAAAGUGCGAUAACUAGUGUGAAUUGCAUAUUCAGUGAAUCAUCGAGUCUUUGAACGCAUCUUGCACUCACUGGUAUUCCAGUGAGUACGCCUGUUUCAGUAUCAAAAACACCCCACACUCAAAAUCUCCUUUCUUGGAGAAAAAGAGUGGAACUGAGAGUUCACGGCUUCUUUCAAGCUGUACUCUUUAAAUAAAUUAAGGCCUGAAAAUUAUAAAAUUGUCUUUUUGCCUGAACAUUUUUUUUAAUAUAAAGGAAAUGCUCUUGUACUAUAAUUCAAUAUUUUUAUGGGGGCCUCCCAAAUUAAAAUCAUCUUCU